GACGAACGCUGGCGGCGUGCUUAACACAUGCAAGUCGAACGGAAAGGCCCUGCUUUUGUGGGGUGCUCGAGUGGCGAACGGGUGAGUAACACGUGAGUAACCUGCCCUUGACUUUGGGAUAACUUCAGGAAACUGGGGCUAAUACCGGAUAGGAGCUCCUGCUGCAUGGUGGGGGUUGGAAAGUUUCGGCGGUUGGGGAUGGACUCGCGGCUUAUCAGCUUGUUGGUGGGGUAGUGGCUUACCAAGGCUUUGACGGGUAGCCGGCCUGAGAGGGUGACCGGCCACAUUGGGACUGAGAUACGGCCCAGACUCCUACGGGAGGCAGCAGUGGGGAAUAUUGCACAAUGGGCGGAAGCCUUAUGCAGCAACGCCGCGUGCGGGAUGACGGCCUUCGGGUUGUAAACCGCUUUCGCCUGUGACGAAGCGUGAGUGACGGUAAUGGGUAAAGAGGCACCGGCUAACUACG
rnacentral:rRNA from 1 species